AUUGAACGCUGGCGGCAGGCCUAACACAUGCAAGUCGAGCGGAGCGGCGGACGGGUGAGUAAUGCCUAGGAAUCUGCCUGGUAGUGGGGGAUAACGUCCGGAAACGGUAGCUAAUACCGCAUACCAUCAGAUGUGCCUAGAUGGGAUUAGCUAGUAGGUGGGGUAAAGGCUUACCUAGGCGACGAUCCCUAACUGGUCUGAGAGGAUGACCAGCCACACUGGAACUGAGACACGGUCCAGACUCCUACGGGAGGCAGCAGUGGGGAAUAUUGGACAAUGGGCGCAAGCCUGAUGCAGCCAUGCCGCGUGUGUGAAGAAGGUCUUCGGGUUGUAAAGUACUUUAAGUGGGGAGGCGUUACCCGCAGAAGAAGCACCGGCUAACUCCGUGCCAGCCGCCGCGGUAAUAC
rnacentral:rRNA from 1 species